GAAACUGAAGAUCUCAGGAAAGAAGUCAUAGCUUCAUUGUGAUGUAGUUGUUAAAGACAGUCUCCCAUUAUUUGCAUCAGAAUGAAGUGGAAUCAGAACUAAAACUUGGCUUCAGAUGUAACAGGCAGAUGGGCAAGAUACUUUUGAUGAUACCUUCUUUGGAGACACUUCCUGAAAUCACCAAUGAAAAACUAAUCUUUCUUCCUCAUAAUUCUGCAGCCCUAGGCCAGGGCUGAGAAUAAGGGUGAUAAAGCCCAGACUGCAUCAAGCCUGAUUCAUGAUUCAGCAGGAAGCUGUGAGAUGUGUGGUAAUUAUGGCAUCUGGUGGCCCCUGACUCCGAGCCUUUGGAGACCUGGAGUUUUCCCAAAGCAAAUUUGGCUGUGGUGAGACUGUAGUGGGAAGAACACUAGAUUUGGAGACAGACAACUUGGGUCCAAAUCACAGCCUGGCCCCUUGCUACCUAUGCUUCAGCCCAACGUUUAUGGAUUUUGACAGUGCAUUUUAAAAGUGUCCUGUGGCCAAAUUAGUUUGGGAAAAGCUACAGCAUAUUUGGAAAUAGCACACCAUUCCAUGUGAGGCAUAUGGUUUUUCUCAAGCAAAGAAAUAAUUUCCCCACGGGACCUACUUGAGGUAGUGGUUUGGAGAGAAGCAUCUUUCUUUCAGCCAUAGAGGAAGAAUAAAGCUUUCUCUAGCAUCAGCUUUUUAUCUUCUUGAAGACAGGGAUGACAUUUUCUUGUGUGUCUCAUGAAGCACCUAGUGUGGUGCAGGUAUCCAUACAAUAGGGAUUCAAUAAACUUU